rnacentral:rRNA from 1 species
UACGUAGGGUGCGAGCGUUGUCCGGAUUUAUUGGGCGUAAAGGGCUCGUAGGCGGCGUGUCGCGUCGGGAGUGAAAGCCCGUUGCUUAACGGCGGGUUGGCUUUCGGUACGGGCAUGCUGGAGUGCGGCAGGGGAGACUGGAAUUCCUGGUGUAGCGGUGGAAUGCGCAGAUAUCAGGAGGAACACCGGUGGCGAAGGCGGGACCCUGGGCCGAUACUGACGCUGAGGAGCGAAAGCGUGGGGAGCAAACAGG